GACGAACGCUGGCGGCGUGCUUAACACAUGCAAGUCGAACGGAAGGGCCCGGCUUUUGUGUGGUGCUCGAGUGGCGAACGGGUGAGUAACACGUGAGUAACCUGCCCUUGACUUUGGGAUAACUUCAGGAAACUGGGGCUAAUACCGGGUAGGAUCUCCUGCUGCGUGGUGGGGGUUGGAAAGUUUCGGCGUUUGGGGAUGGACUCGCGGCUUAUCAGCUUGUUUGUGGGGUAGUGGCUUACCAAGGCUUUGACGGGUAGCCGGCCUGAGAGGGUGACCGGCCACAUUGGGACUGAGAUACGGCCCAGACUCGUACGGGAGGCAGCAGUGGGGAAUAUGGCACAAUGGGCGGAAGCCUGAUGCAGCAACGCCGCGUGCGGGAUGACGGCCUUCGGGUUGUAAACCGCUUUCGCCUGUGACGAAGCGUGAGUGACGGUAAUGGGUAAAGAAGCAACGGCUAACUACGUG
rnacentral:rRNA from 1 species